rnacentral:rRNA from 2 species
UGAGUAACCUGCCCCUGACUCUGGGAUAAGCGUUGGACACGACGUCUAAUACUGGAUAUGACUGCCGGCCGCAUGGUCUGGUGGUGGAAAGAUUUUUUGGUUGGGGAUGGACUCGCGGCCUAUCAGCUUGUUGGUGAGGUAAUGGCUCACCAAGGCGACGACGGGUAGCCGGCCUGAGAGGGUGACCGGCCACACUGGGACUGAGACACGGCCCAGACUCCUACGGGAGGCAGCAGUGGGGAAUAUUGCACAAUGGGCGAAAGCCUGAUGCAGCAACGCCGCGUGAGGGAUGACGGCCUUCGGGUUGUAAACCUCUUUUAGUAGGGAAGAAGCGAAAGUGACGGUACCUGCAGAAAAAGCACCGGCUAACUACGUGCCAGCAGCCGCGGUAAUACGUAGGGUGCAAGCGUUGUCCGGAAUUAUUGGGCGUAAAGAGCUCGUAGGCGGUUUGUCGCGUCUGCUGUGAAAUCCCGAGGCUCAACCUCGGGCUUGCAGUGGGUACGGGCAGACUAGAGUGCGGUAGGGGAGAUUGGAAUUCCUGGUGUAGCGGUGGAAUGCGCAGAUAUCAGGAGGAACACCGAUGGCGAAGGCAGAUCUCUGGGCCGUAACUGACGCUGAGGAGCGAAAGCGUGGGGAGCGAACAGGAUUAGAUACCCUGGUAGUCCACGCCGUAAACGUUGGGCGCUAGAUGUAGGGACCUUUCCACGGUUUCUGUGUCGUAGCUAACGCAUUAAGCGCCCCGCCUGGGGAGUACGGCCGCAAGGCUAAAACUCAAAGGAAUUGACGGGGGCCCGCACAAGCGGCGGAGCAUGCGGAUUAAUUCGAUGCAACGCGAAGAACCUUACCAAGGCUUGACAUACACCGGAAACGGCCAGAGAUGGUCGCCCCCUUGUGGUCGGUGUACAGGUGGUGCAUGGUUGUCGUCAGCUCGUGUCGUGAGAUGUUGGGUUAAGUCCCGCAACGAGCGCAACCCUCGUUCUAUGUUGCCAGCGCGUUAUGGCGGGGACUCAUAGGAGACUGCCGGGGUCAACUCGGAGGAAGGUGGGGAUGACGUCAAAUCAUCAUGCCCCUUAUGUCUUGGGCUUCACGCAUGCUACAAUGGCCGGUACAAAGGGCUGCGAUACCGUAAGGUGGAGCGAAUCCCAAAAAGCCGGUCUCAGUUCGGAUUGAGGUCUGCAACUCGACCUCAUGAAGUCGGAGUCGCUAGUAAUCGCAGAUCAGCAACGCUGCGGUGAAUACGUUCCCGGGCCUUGUACACACCGCCCGUCAAGUCAUGAAAGUCGGUAACACCCGAA